ensembl:lncRNA
CACGGACGACGUACUUUUUGGAAUUCCUACCUGCGAAUAAACAGCAUAAUGUAAUCCUGGACUACCUCUCUGAAAUACUGAGGGUGACCCCUGUCCUUCACAUCGCCUGACCUCUGGACUCACUGCCGGCGCUGGUGGUGACCGGGGUCAUUGGACGGCGACCAGAGGAGCUCUUAAUUCUGCAACGUAAUGCCAAAGAUUUCAGAAAAGAUGAAUCCCAACGUUUGCUGGCAGGAUACAGCAGCGCUCUCACGCGGUCCAUAGUGUUGGACUGUCCCUCAUUCCUGUUCUUGGGUCCUGCUCAAAGAGUACAGGACUCACAAUGGAGGAUAAGCAUCACUCUCCAGAAUGUCUUUCCACAAAUGAGUCCUUGUUGGCGGCUCUCUGGUCUUCGGCGGCAUCAGUCGUCGUCACAAAGAGCCUUUUGCUGGAUCCAAACUCCCUUUUCCUUUUCCUUUGAGCUUUUGUUUCCCCUCUGCUUCCUUAUCUCUGCAGUUGUCUCCCCCCUGUUUUCAGGGAUCACUGAUGCAAUCGCAUCCACUUAGGUGUCAUUAUUUUUGUUAACUCUCUUAUUCCCCGUGUGAUUAUCAGCGGCGGUUUAAUGAGGUGUUUGUUUGUUUGUUUGUAUGUGUUAGUGUGUGUAUGGGAGUCUCUGUGUGUUAAGAGGGGACUGCAGCUGCAGCUCC